GUAACGGCGAGUGAAGCGGGAACAGCUCAAGCUUAAAAUCUCUGUUGCUUGCAACAGCGAAUUGUAGCCUCGAGAAGCGUUUUCAAGCUGGAUACUUUGAUGCCUAAGUUGCCUGGAACGGCACAUCGUAGAGGGUGACAAUCCCGUACGCGGUAUCAAGUACUAGUCACGAUGCGUUUUCCAUGAGUCGGGUUGCUUGGGAAUGCAGCCCAAAAUGGGAGGUAAACUCCUUCUAAAGCUAAAUAUUGGCACGAGACCGAUAGCGAACAAGUACCGUGAGGGAAAGAUGAAAAGCACUUUGAAAAGAAAGUUAAUAGUACGUGAAACCGUUAAAAGGGAAGCGCAUGGAAUUAGCAAUGCAUUGUAGAGAUUCAGGUUAUCAAUUGUAGUUACUUGGGUUUAGCAGAUCUGAAUGGACUGCUUGCUCAGGUCUUCUUCUUUUGGCAAUCGCACUUCUCUAUGAUGCGCGUCAACAAAUGUUGAGACUGGAUGAAAAGCUUUACGAGAAGGUAGCUGUGCUUUCGAGUGCAGUAUUAUAGCUUGUAGAUGCAAGUUCAGGCUUCACAGAGGUGUUGCGACAUAUGCUCUUUUAGGGCUGGCCUCUCUUUCUUCUUGCAGUUGUCGAACAUAAUGGACUGCGUGCAGUGCAUUUGAACUGCUGCUGCUUGUUGGAGGGAUGAGUGUACACAUUAUGUCAAAGUUGUUGGCGGUCAUAUGAUUUCAUACGACCCGUCUUGAAACACGGACCAAGGAGUCUAACAUGUGUGCGAGUCUUUGGGUGAUAGAAACCCGCAGGCAUAAUGAAAGUAAAGGCUGCUUGCAGCUGAAGUGAGAUCUGUCAUGUACGCAUGGCAGCGCAUCAUUGACCGACUUAUUCUACUCCUAGAAAGGUUUGAGUAAGAGCACAUCUGUUGGGACCCGAAAGAUGGUGAACUAUGCUUGAGUAGGGCGAAGCCAGAGGAAACUCUGGUGGAGGCUCGUAGCGAUUCUGACGUGCAAAUCGAUCGUCAAACUUGAGUAUAGGGGCGAAAGACUAAUCGAACCAUCUAGUAGCUGGUUCCCUCCGAAGUUUCCCUUAGGAUAGCUGGAACUCGGUGUUAACAGUUUUAUCAGGUAAAGCGAAUGAUUAGAGGUCUUAGGGUUGAAACAAUCUUAACCUAUUCUCAAACUUUAAAUUGGUAAGAAGCCCGACUUGCUUAAUUGAAGUAGGGCAACGAAUGAGAGUUCUUAGUGGGCCAUUUUUGGUAAGCAGAACUGGCGAUGCGGGAUGAACCGAACGCUGAGAUAAGGCGCCUAAAUCGACGCUCAUCAGACCCCACAAAAGGUGUUGGUUGAUCUAGACAGCAGGACGGUGGCCAUGGAAGUCGGAAUCCGCUAAGGAGUGUGUAACAACACACCUGCCGAAUCAACUAGCCCUGAAAAUGGAUGGCGCUCAAGCGUCGUGCCUAUACUCAGCCGUCAGAGUGAAGGCUAAAGCUCUGACGAGUAGGAGGGCGUGGGGGUCGUGACGCAGCCUUUGGCGUGAGCCUGGGUGAAACGGCCUCUAGUGCAGAUCUUGGUGGUAGUAGCAAAUAUUCAAAUGAGAACUUUGAAGACCGAAGUGGAGAAAGGUUCCAUGUGAACAGCAGUUGGACAUGGGUUAGUCGAUCCUAAGAGAUAGGGAAACUCCGUUUCAAAGUGCUCGUUUCUCGAGCCAUUUAUCGAAAGGGAAUCGGGUUAAUAUUCCCGAACCGGAACGCGGAUAUUUUGUCCUCUUCGGAGGUCGAAUUUGCGGUAACGCAACUGAACUCGGAGACGUCGGCAGAAGCCCUGGGAAGAGUUAUCUUUUCUUGUUAACGUUCAUCGAAACCAUGGAAUCUGAUUGCCAGGAGAUAUGGUCCGACGAACGGUAAAGCAUCACACUUCUUGUGGUGUCCGGUGCGCUUCUGAAGGCCCUUGAAAAUCCGAGGGAAAGAUUUAUUCUCGCUUCCGCUCGUACUCAUAACCGCAGCAGGUCUCCUAGGUGAGCAGCCUCUGGUCGAUAGAACAAUGUAGGUAAGGGAAGUCGGCAAAAUAGAUCCGUAACUUCGGGAAAAGGAUUGGCUC
rnacentral:rRNA from 1 species